GAUCUCUAGGUGAAGAUGAUUGACAAAGUCUCCUUCACCUUCGGAGUCCUGAGUAUCUGUGCCCUGGAGUGGUUAGCUCUUAGACAUGCAGACUGGUUUCCCUGGGCUUACUAUUCUAUUAUGACAGUUUUACUGGCUCUGAGGUUCCAUGUGUACAAAGCUGAAAAGUUUGAAUUAUUUAUGAUUGAUUUCUGCUAUUUCAUGAACUUCUCAGGUGAAUAGAUUCAUUAUUUUAGUCAUUUU